CACAAAGCAAUGAAGGAAACAAGUAGUAUCUGUGAAAAGCAACAGAGAGCAGCCGGCAGGUGAGAGGCGCAGACCGGAAGCAGAUAUGAAUACAUUCCGGAGCAGCACUCCGAACAGGAAAGUACCCAAGUAGGCAGUGACGGAUUGGUACACGUUAUCGUACCCGGAGUAUAUUUGUACUUCAUAAGAUAAGCAGUGUGAGCUGUUUAUGAAUAAAGGUGGUAACACGUAAGCAUCAGCUUUCGUCCUUUUA
rnacentral:ncRNA from 1 species